rnacentral:rRNA from 1 species
UGGGGAAUAUUGCACAAUGGGCGAAAGCCUGAUGCAGCCAUGCCGCGUGUAUGAAGAAGGCCUUCGGGUUGUAAAGUACUUUCAGUUGUGAGGAAGGGGGUGUCGUUAAUAGCGGCAUCUCUUGACGUUAGCAACAGAAGAAGCACCGGCUAACUCCGUGCCAGCAGCCGCGGUAAUACGGAGGGUGCGAGCGUUAAUCGGAAUUACUGGGCGUAAAGCGCAUGCAGGUGGUUCAUUAAGUCAGAUGUGAAAGCCCGGGGCUCAACCUCGGAACAGCAUUUGAAACUGGCAGACUAGAGUACUGUAGAGGGGGGUAGAAUUUCAGGUGUAGCGGUGAAAUGCGUAGAGAUCUGAAGGAAUACCAGUGGCGAAGGCGGCCCCCUGGACAGAUACUGACACUCAGAUGCGAAAGCGUGGGGAGCAAACAGGAUUAGAUACCCUGGUAGUCCACGCCGUAAACGAUGUCUACUUGGAGGUUGUGGCCUUGAGCCGUGGCUUUCGGAGCUAACGCGUUAA